CCUGAUUGUGAAGCCUCCCAAGCCAUGUGGAACUGAGUCUUUCCACCGCUUCAGAACAUGCCUGGUGACCUCAUUUAUGUGAACACUUUAGCCAGAACAAAACUCAGCAAGCCACUGAUGAAUCCAGUGAAAAGGAGAGACCUACUGAGCCUUUGGGAAUGUAUGAUGCCUUGGAUUGGUCCAGGGUUCUGAAGCCUAAGUCACUCAUUGUACGCAGGAAGCCGAAUGUAAGACCUUCCACAAGCACUUUCACAAACAGGGGUCUGUUUACAACAUGUGCUCCCAAAGCCCACGGUCUCUUUGCCAGUGAUUGUCUGUCAAACGUCCAAGCUCUGCCGUGCCAGGGCAGCUUCAGUUAUCCACGUUUCCCAGGCCACACAGCCUGGGCAGAAAAUAACCACAAUGACAGUCACAAAGCAGAUUCCUCUAAUUCUACCCCCCCCAGAGUCAGAAAAACCGUGUGAUAUGUGCCAUGUCCCUCCCCUUCCUUUCCAGCUGCUGUGUGGAUGAGGUCUCCUGCUGCUCUGGGACCGUGCUUCACUCCAAGCCUCAGAGGUGGACACCUUUGAUACCAGGGUGACCAAUCCCUGGUCCUGGUCCUACCUACAUGAGAGUGAUAGAGCUCUGGGCUGGGGUACAAUUGAGUGACACACUCUUCCAAGUCCUCUUCCUCCACCACAGAGCACAAUUUCAUAAAGGUUUUGGCUUGCAUUAUAGAUGAGGACUUUGGAUAUUGGCAAGGUUAAGUAACGUGCACAGUCCACACUCACCAUUGGUAAAGGCAGGACUCAGACCUUGGUCUGAGGGACUUCACACAUAUUCCUAACCAUGACACCAGCCACCUUUCAUCCACUUCAGCUGACAUCUGUCUGGCUUGAGGCCGAAAGAGGGGACACCUUGCAGUCUGCCCGAGCAGCAGCCAUUUGAACCUCCCCCUGGUGCCCUGAGGCUCAAGAACACUUGGAGAGAUAGAAGUGGGAGUUGGCUUGAUUCAUGAAGGAGGAGAGUGAUGGCUUACAAGAUGAGUUGUUCGAGUUUCAAUUGGAGAGAUAAUGCCAUUUAAGAUGAGGAUAACUCCGUGAUGCCUCAGAUGAUUUCAUUGCAGCCUUUGCCUAGACUGCAACAUGGCCAAUAAUGCCACGCCUUGCAUAUGGGUGGCCGUUGUGGCACUUCAGACAUUCUCUAGUAACAGGACCUCGAUGCUGAGAGACAAAAUCUGCAUCCUCACCUGUCAGAUAAGGAGACAGCCCAAAGAGUGAGUGUGGUCACCAGACCAUGCUCUACACGUUAGAACAAAGGACCCCAGAAGCACAUCUGCCCCAGACUCAACCAGAUGGGCUUUGCUGUCCAGACAACAUAGGUGGAGACCUCACAUUUCGAGGGAACGUGGAACACGGAACACUUCAGAUUUUCAACGAUGCUGGAUUUGAGCUGUUCACUUGAAAAUAAAGUCUGUUGCAUCACAAGUGCUGGUUGGCAUCGCUGUCCUCCUAUCAGUGGAUUAAGAAAAGGCACAGCGAAAAACUAGUUUAAAAUCACCAGUCGGAUAUUUUACAGGCGAGGUCCAGCACGAUCACUCACACGGCUGCUGCUAGGCUGGCUCUGCCCGUUAUUCUUCCAUCCUGGCACCAUGCUUCUAAUUUAUCCUGAAUACAUGGAGACUUGAGCACUGAUGGGAUAGAUAAAAAAAACGACAGCAAUCUUCUCUCCAAAAAAGCAACAUAAGACUAGAUAAAAUGGUCAAAAAUAAUCAUUUCAGAAUGAUUCUAGAAAAUGACCAAAGGCAGACAACAAAUUGAGAUGUGUGUUUCGUUUUUUUUGAAUCUACUGGGGCUUGGAAGGAACAGUGGGAGACUAUGGAAUUUUAGCUCAGGGCAGCGUGGUAUAGUUUCACAAUGGAAUACUACUCAGAAAUAAAAGCGAUAAACUGUUGAUACAUGCAACAAUGUGGAUGAAUCUUAAGAUAAUAAUGCUGAGUCAAAGAAGCCAGACAAAAGUAUGUAUAGUGUGAUUCGAAUUAUAUGAAAUUCUACAAAAUAUACACUAAUCUAUAAUGACAGAAAUAGAUCAGGGGUUGCCUGGGGAACUGGGGUGGAGGGUGUGCCAAGAGAGGCAGGAAAGAAGGAUUAUGAAGGGGCAGGAGGAGAGCUUUGGGGAUGGGGAUGUAUUCAUUAUCUUGAUUGUGAUGAUAAAUUCUCCGGUGUACACAUAUAGCAAAAUUUAUCAAAUUAUACACUUUAAACCAUGUGCAGUUUUUGUAUAUGGAUUGUACCAAAAUAAAGUUUUUUAAAGGGAUGCUAAUCAAUGGAUUAUACUACCUGUAGCUUGCCUACACCUCAUCUCCUUCCUCAAAACAGUUAACCUACAGGUACCUAGUAGCUAUUCCAAAACUGCUCCUCGAACUUGUGAAUGAGUAAGAGAAUGAACAAACGCACCCACUUAUCAACCUAUUCUAUGUCCU
rnacentral:lncRNA from 10 species